rnacentral:tRNA from 1 species
UGGGGCGUGGCCAAGUGGUAAGGCAUCGGUUUUUGGUAUCGUGUACCGGAGGUUCGAAUCCUCCCGCCCCAGCCA